AUGAACGCUAGCUACAGGCUUAACACAUGCAAGUCGAACGCGAAAGGGACUUCGGUCCUGAGUAAAGUGGCGCACGGGUGAGUAACGCGUAGAUAACCUGUCUUCAUGUCUGGAAUAAUACGCCGAAAGGGGUACUAAUACCGGAUAUUCUUGCUUUUCAUAAGUUAUGCAAGCAAAGGUGGCCUCUGCAUAUGCUACUGCAUGAAGAGGGGUCUGCGUACCAUUAGCUAGUAGGUGGGGUAAUGGCCUACCUAGGCGACGAUGGUUAGCGGGUCUGAGAGGAUGAUCCGCCACACUGGCACUGGAACACGGGCCAGACUCCUACGGGAGGCAGCAGUGAGGAAUAUUGCGCAAUGGGGGAAACCCUGACGCAGCGACGCCGCGUGAGUGAGGAAAGGCCUUCGGGUCGUAAAGCUCUGUCAAGAGGAAAGAAGUGUACAAUGGCUAAUACCUGUUGUAUUUGACGGUACCUCUAAAGGAAGCACCGGCUAACUCCGUGCCAGCAGCUGC
rnacentral:rRNA from 1 species